rnacentral:rRNA from 1 species
CCCUUAGAUGUCCUGGGCUGCACGCGCGCUACACUGAUGUGUCCAGUAAGCACCUAAUCUCUUCCGAAAGGAACGGGUAACCUUUGCAAAGCACAUCGUGAUGGGGAUAGAUUAUUGCAAUUAUUAGUCUUGAACGAGGAAUUCCUAGUAAGCACAAGUCAUCAGCUUGUGUUGAUUACGUCCCUGCCCUUUGUACACACCGCCCGUCGCUCCUACCGAUUGAAUGUUCCGGUGAGCUCUUCGGACUGCGCGGUCUGCAGUUUCUGCGUUCCGUGCGGAAAGUUGCGCAAACCUUAACAUUUAGAGGAAGGAGAAGUCGUAACA